GGUACCGUGUUGGUCGUCGUCGCAGGUGCAAGUCACGCGUUGGCAUUCAUCAGAGAGUUACAAAGGAUGACGCGAUGAAAUGGUUCCAGGUCAAAUAUGAAGGAGUCAUCCUUAACAAAUCCCAAAAUAUUUGAUCUUAGAUCUUUUCCUGACUUCUUCAAGUUUAAAUUUUGGCAAUUCGUUGACCCUGGGCAGGGAUUUAUGUACCUGGAGUUGUAAUUUUCGUCUAGAAUUUCUUGAAUUGGUAGAUAAUCUGAAGUUCUAUGUAUUUUUGUGUUCUUGUUUCACUGCUUGUGCUUUUAUCAAUAUAAUGCUGUUCGUUUAUGCUGAUAUCAUGCAUCCAGUAUUCCCAAUCAAAAUCAGUGUGGCUUGUUUGUCCAUAAUCAAAAUCGGUGUGGCUUGACAUGGACAGUAAUCGACAAAUAACAGGGCUUCGCUGCUGUGCAGGCACCCAACAAAGCAGGGGACAUAAUUUCCCGUAACUACCAUAGAGGCUUUAAGCUACAAGCAUGUGGAACCAAUAAAUUAUGUUCGUGCAGUUGGGCAAGGCAUUUUUUGUAGAUAAGCUCUUCUUAAAGUUCACAUUGACUGACUGUGACCUCUGCGGCCUUAGCUUUUCCUGGAACCGUUUUACAUGGAGUAAUAAUUAGAGAGGGGGCGCCAUUUCAUUGUCUCUGUUUUCACUUGGAUUGGAAUGAUGCAUAUUUUUUAAUAUUUUAUUUUGAUCCUCAAACAUUUUCCUCUUUGAUUUUGGAGAUUUUGUUGCUUUAAUUAUGAUUAUUUUUUAAAAUAUUUUUACUUAAAAAAACAUCAAAAUAAUAUUUUUUAAUUUUUUAAAAAUUAUUUUUGACAUCAAUGCAUCUAAAUGAUAUGAAAAUAUUAAAAAAAUAUAUUAUUUUGAAGCAAAGAAAAACAUAAUUUUUUUUAAAUUUUUUCAAAAGUGUUCUUAAACGCAAAAACAAAAGAGAAUAAAAAAUGAAAAAGAUGGGUAAAUUAGAUGUAAUCUUAGAAUUUUAUAAGAAAAGUUCAAUUUGCUCCCUCUACCUCUCAACUAAUAAAUGACCAGUUUCUUUAGUUGUUAGAAAUAUAAUUUUAUUUCUAACAAAACUUUUUUAUUUUUUUAUUUUUUAGUGUUUCUUUAGAGAGAGAGAGUCUUUGAAUUUUGGCAUAGAGAGAGAGUUGUCAUUGACGCUGACUUCGACACAAAUCAUUGACGUUGACUCUGACAUAAAAAAUAAUCGAUUUUGGUGUCAAUGAAUUUCAUUUCAAUCUAUUUUUCAUGAGAGUAGUUAGAAAGUCGUCGGAUUCCAACGUAUAGAAAGAAUUGUUAUUAAAAUUGAUUUCACACAUAAAAAAUAAUCGAUCUUAGUGUCAAUGAGUUUCACUUGAUAGGAAGUUUUACCUAGGUGUUAUUUUUCCUCUAUGCCUAAGAAGGUAGAUCUUCCUACAAUAAGAUUUUCAGGUUCAAGUUGAUUUUGGGUUUUUUAGUUGUUUUUUAGGUUAUCUGAGACUAUGAAUAUGUUUAUUAAGGUGUUUUUCCAUGUGUUUUGGGUAUAAAAAGAAAGAGAGCUGAAAAACAGGUUUUUGAGCAAAAAAACAGAAGCCCUGGUUUUUCAGGGACCUUUCGGUAGCAAGAUUUUGCAAACAGUAGAUGACAUGUCAUCUAUUUAUUUUUUAUUUUUAAAAAAUAGAGAUGGAUGAUAUGUUGUCUACCCCUUAUUAAAUAAAUAAAUAAAAUAUAAAACCAAGUCUUGUUGUGCGGGGUGGCUGGAAAGCCCACGUGCUCAGGUUCUUUUUUAAAAAGGCCUAAGCAUACUAGGCCAACAAGUCCACGUGUCUAGGCCACUAGGCUCACGUGUCUGGGCUCCUUUUUGUUUUUUUUUUUAAUUAAAAUUGUGUGUUAUUUGGUAUUUAGGUAAAAAAUAAUUAAGCCUAGUUGAGCCCAAGACGCGGCCAUAAGUUUAAUGAGUUAAUCCAAAAUGUAAAGGUCGAUCCAAUAUUUUGUUGUUUGAAUAUAUAUUUUUAAAUAUGUUAGGUUGAAUUUUCUUAACCAUUUGGUUUAUUUGAUUUUUUCUCUACGGGAUUAAUUAGCUCAAAUUUGAUCUAUUACAUUAUUGUCAUAGUCUCAUGAUCUGGAUCACGAGUAUAUCAAGUUGACAUGACUUGACUCGACCAUUUUGGUAUAUCACCAUGUCAAUAGUUUUUUAAUAAAAAAGUCAUUUUGUAGAAUUUUUGUUCCUUCAAUUUGUUUUCUUCCAGUUUCAUCUUUUAAUUUUUUAAAUAAAACUUUUAUCCUAUAAUUAGGUAAAAAAAUAAAAUUUAAAAAAUAAAUAGUUAAACUCAUUGGAUUCCAUAACCUGAAUCACGGGCUUAACAUGUUAAGUCGGGAAGCUCGGGUUGAUCAAAUAUGUUUUCGUCUCAAUUUGUUUUUUAAAAGAUGUGAUAUUGAAAUCUUUUUAAGUAUUUGGUUUAUUUAGAAUUGGUUUUCAUGAUGUGUUUCAUUUUGGUUUAUAUAGGAUUAAUUGGUUUUGGUUUGUUUUCUAUAGAGAUUUUUUUAUCAUCUUGAUUUUUUAAAUUUAGAUCACAUUAUUAUCGAUCAUUUAGUUUUCAGGUUUACUAACACAGUCAAAAAUACUUUCUACAAUGUUAACAUUUUUUAUGUUUUUUUUAAAUAAUCCAACCCGUAACGAAUCGCAAACCAAUAUUCCAAAGCUACUAGUGUGUGUUUGGCUUGGAGGUGUGGUGGCUUUUUUUCAAAGAUUCAAUCCUUUUAAAGCACAAAUCACACCUCCAAAAGCUAAAAAUACAUGCUUUUUGUGUGGGCCCCAUAAAAAAAAAAGUCAAAGCCACCUUCAAACCAAACACUCCAAAGAAGCUAAACUCCCAACCAAACUUGGUACUCUGGCUUUAGGUUUUGCUCCAAAUAACAAUGAAUUAUUAAAGUAUGUUUGGGAGAGUGGUGACUUUUGUGAUUGCGGUUGGUAAAAAGUAGUUUUUUUUAAAAUCACUUUUUCUUGUGGUUUUGUAUAAUAAAAUAUAUGUUUGGUUAAAAUCGUGGUUAAAAUUAUUGUUAUCUAAAAAGCAAUUUAUAUGUGUUUGGUUAAGUUGCUUUUGUAAGUGUUUCUGGUAAUAAAAUUACCAAUAAGGAAGAUGGGAGCAUUUGUGAGCAUUUUUUGUUGUAAUACAUAAAAAAAAAAUAAGAAUAUUACAUUAUUGUUGCCCUUCAAUCAUCUCAUUAAACUAUAUGCUAUUCCAUCAUAGACAUAAUUCAUUCGAGAAGGCCUCUAGUUGCCUUGGCUUUGAGAACGUGAAAUAACAUCGGCUAAAAAAUCAUCAGGAAUAAAAUUAGGAUUGCGAUCAUAUUCUGUAAAUGCAACAUCUUCUUGUGACUUCCUCCUAAUAUAGUUAUGUAGUGUCAUUGAUGCCACUACAUUCUGCACUUGUGACUUGUAAGGAUAUGCCAACAUGUUCUGUAAAAUUCUCUAUCUUUGUUUCCACAUUACAAAUGCACGUUCAAUGACAUUGUGAAAUGAUGAGUGUGCACGAUUUAAUCGCUCUUCCCGGCUUGUUGGUUGCCCUUGAUACUGAAAAUCUUGGAAGUCAUAUCUCUCACUUUUAUAUGGACUAAGAUAUCCAUACUCAUUUGGGUACCCAACAUCAACCAAAGAAUAUUUCCAUGCAAUGAUAAAUGAAAAAUUUAUAACAAAUUUCAUAAAAAAAUAUAGAAUAAACAUAUUUUAAAUUUAAAUAACAAUUAAUUAUUGUCAUAUAUUUACCUUAAGGAGGUUUUGGAAAUUUUAUAGUUGGAUUGUUAAUAGCCUCCAGAAAAAUAUGAGUAUCAUGAGCACUACCUUCCCAUCCUGCCUAAAAAAAUAAGAAUUGCAUAUCAAAACUAUAUGCAACCAUUACGUUCCAUGUCAGUACACCAUUUCUAUCAAUAAAUGAUAUUUGAUUUUCUUGAGAAACAGAAGCACAAACAUGUGUACCAUCUAUCACACCAAUACAAUUUUACAAAACAAAACAAUAACCAACAUUUCAUAAAUAAUGACUAGCAGAAUCUGAAACUAAUUUUUUUGUCAUUAAUUGUUAUAAACACCAUCUGUCUGACCUUAAAAUGAGGCAUAAAUCUCGGAUUCAUCAUAAUUUCUCGCGAAGUGUUUAAAAAUUCAUAGUCCUCUAGUUUAAUUAUGUCUACUGCAAGCAAACAAAUUGUCUUGAACACUACAUUAAAAUAUUGACUCAUGGUUUCACCAAAAUGUUGAAAUCUUUCUUGGACUUGCCUAUUUGAUGCACCUAAUGCAAUGGUGUACAAAAACAUUGCCACCUUAUCAAUAACACUCGUCCUUUUCGAUGGUUUCAACUCAUACUGUGUUUCCAAGUCAUAACAAAGGUUUUGUAACGUCGUUGCAUCCAUCCUAAACAUGUUAACACACCGUUUCCAGUGUCCUCGUACGAGUUCAUUUAACCAUCUCAUCCCCGUGUUAUAUGAAACCAUACAAGGUUCCUUAUGCACAUAAGUAGCAUAAUACAUGUGUAAAGCACCAGCGGUGCAUAACAAUAGUUUUUUACGAUCAAACUCUCAUAGCUAAAAUGAUUCAUCCUCGUCAUCAAUACAAUUUUCAUCUUCAUUUUAAUCACUAUCAUCAUCACUGUCAUCAUCAUCAUUAGUUCCGCCGAAAUCAUCCCCAUCAUCGCCACCAUCAUUAACUCCUCUAUUACCAUCACCAUCACCAGCAACUCCACCACUACCACCGCUACUACUAUAAUUAAUAUGAUCAAUUACAUGAUUCAUCACAGUAUCAUAAUUCUUGUCAUAGUUAACACUAAAUAUAGCAUGAACCCAUUCAUCUGUCAUAUCUACCAACAUAAAUUCAAUUACAAAUAUUUGUGUUCAUUACAAUUCAUAUCAUAAAAAAAGAUUCAUCACUUUUUAUAUACCAAUUGACAACAUUAUUUACCACUUUGAAAGAUAUGGGGAAAAAAUUCAUGUUAUAGAUUAAUAACAUCAAUUUUAUUUAGAACAUAUAUAGAAAAAGAAAAAAAAUGAAUGUCAUGUUUUUUUACGAGUUUGGAAAUGGUAAGCAAAGGAUGAAUAAGAAAAAUACGCACUAGAUUAUAUGCAUGAUUUUUCAUGUGAAAUAAAAAUUCAAUCAACUAUCUUUGACUUAAAUAUUUGUGUCGACUGGAAACUUCAUUUGAUGUUGCAUAUCACUGAAAUGCAUGUAUGCAAAAAACCAUCCUAAAAAAAUAGUUUGAGGACAAACUCUAGUAAAGAAUUGCAUAUAAUUCAUUCACGAUUAAUAAAAAGGUAUAGCUGGGCUUGUAUUGAAAGACCAUUGAACUUCAUUGGCAUUGAAUUUAAAAACAAACAAGCCUUUGUUUUGCACUGAAAGUUAUGAAAAACAAAAUUGAUUGAAAUAAGAGUAACUUAUAACUACAAUUUAUUUUGUAGGAGCUCUCAAAACUUAAAGUUUUCUUGUUGUAGUGUAUUGAAACGUCAUGAAGGUUAUUUCUCAUAUUGAAGUUACAACAUGUAUUAUAUAGGAAUCUGCAAGUAUUGUAGGAUAAAAAAAUAACAAAAAUGUUUUUGCAAGUUUCAGUAAAUUAUUAUAACCAAACAAAUAACAUAUAAAUUAUAGUCUGCAUCAAUGUACUAUGAAAAAAUUUUACAAAUUUAUAGAAUGCCCAUUUAUAUGUUAGCCCUAAUUACGAAUAUGCCUGACAUAUAUUAUCUUAUAUAUAUAUAUAUAUAUAUAUAUAUAUAUAUAUAUAUAUAUUUUGCCAACUUUUCAUGCACUACAUCCACUACUCCAUCAUCACUUCCUAUUUGAUGAGAUCAUAAGUAAAUAAUUAAACUUUGGUCAGUUGUAUGUACUCCAAUUUCUUUUCAACCUAUAGCCUUAUAUAUAAUUACUGUCAAGAACAAAUUGCUGGAAUAGUUUUAUUUCACAUGAUUUAUGUCGCAAAAGUCAAGCAUUAAUCAUAUUGUUUUGUCUAAAGCUGGACAUGAUGGAAAAUAUAGAAUUGUUAUGCUGCAAACAACAACUCUAUUAAUUAUUCAUGUUCUAAAAAGAAUUGUCAAGUCAAUUUACUUGUUGUAAUUUCAUGUUUUGGUUUUUAGUUCUUUCUCCUGGUAUCUUAAUAGUUUUUUUUAUCCUAUUAUGAUUUGGAACAACGUAAAUAUAUAUAAAAUUUCCAAUUUUAUUGGUGAUGUGUGAUUUCACCUUCAAGUUUCAUAAAGGCUGAUACUGAGAAUUUAACAUAUAAUUGGAUUCAUAUUGCUAUUACCAUCAAUAACAUUGCAAUAAUAGAACUAGCUAUGAUUUGAAAAUUUUCUCCAGCACCUGGAUAAGAACAAUAGUCGGCCUUAAAAUAAGAAUAUUUAUAAUAAUUCACCAUCAACAUAAUAGUAGACAACAAAACAAGUUUACCAAUAUAGCUGUAAAUUUAAAACAUGUUAGAUUAGCAAUCCGCAAACAUAAUUAAAAAAAUUUAUAAUAAUUCUCCCUCAACAUAACAACAAACAACACAACAAGUUUACUAAUAUUCCAUUAAAUUUAAAACAUAUUAGAUUAAUAAUUUGCAAACAUAAUUAAGAAAGGUGGUUCUCUACUUAAAUCAACACUACUCUUCUUGCUUCAAUCCAUCAGCCUUAGGAGUUAUUGUCAUAUUAUUCCAAACUUAUACAUCAUUUGGCACCAUAACAAAACUCCCAUGACAUCCAGUUGUUAAAGCAAUUGACAAUAAAAUAUUUGAAUUAAUCACGACAUAAUUAUUUAGGACAGAACAAAAACUAAAAGCAUUAUUAAAGCAAUACUAACCUUGAUUUAAUGCUUUUGACUUCUCUAAUACAUUUUUUGAAGCCAUUGAUACUUCCUAUCAAUAUCUUCAAUUGAUGCCCCCAUCUCUCUUUUUUUCCUCUUAGAAAAGUACUCGGUAGCAAAAUAGUAUAAUUCAUCAUUGAAAGUAAUUCCAGGUAUGGAAUAAACCUCUGUCAUCACCUCACUAAUACUACACCAUAUCUUAUCCAUACUAUCAUUCUUGAUCGAAACACGAUCAAGUAGUUGAUCCCAAUGUGAAAGCAAUUGAGCUCCAAAUUUAUAAGGUUUUUUGCUUUUCUUUUUUACUUUGCCCAUCCUAUUGUUCUCUUGUUUUUCUCUUUCCACUAUUAUUUAUGGUACUGCUAUUUCUCAUAUUAACAACAACUAAAUUGCAGACAUGAUCUAUAUAAUUGGGAAUGUCAUCCUCCUCUGAAUCACCACUUCCUUCCUCAAGAUUUUCUUCCUCAUUAACAUUAACACCCUGAGUGCUUUGAUUCAUAACAUCAUCAUCAAAUAAAGUUUCAGAAGAUUGAGUCUAAGCAUAAUGUCUAGUCGCCACAACAUUGCUGAACAUUCCAUCAAACUUACUGCAAAAUGAUGGUUCAAUCCCAGUAUGUCUAAACUUUUUGGACCAUCUGAUUUUCUAUAUAAAAGAAAUAUAAAACAUCAAAUUCAUAAACCAUAUAAAACAUGCUAAGCAGUUUAAGAAAUAAGACAAAACAAAGACAAAUCCAGACAACGAAGGUAUCGAUAAUUAACCUGAGUUUUUUUCUUCCACCAUCAUCACUAGCACUAAUAGUUCCAAGUUCACUAUUUCAUCCUACUCUUAUUUCAGAAAUCAAUUUUUUUCCAAAUCCUUCAGUCUUUUUUUGCACCAUUCCAUUUGUUUUUAAGUUGAGUCUUACUAAAAGCAUGACUAGUUUUCUCUUUAAAGAUAGCUAUAACAAAUUUUCAUCCAGCCUUAUUGAAUUGAGUGCUUGGCCUUAUUCCUCUAUCAAUAGCAGCAAUACAAAUAUCACAGAAUGUAUGCACCAUCUCUUUAGUCUAAGAUGCUUUAUCCGAGCUUUCAACACCUUCCAUUGAUUAUUUUUUUCUAGCAUGAUUCAUCAAACCACAAAAAGAACACAUGAGCAUUUAAACUUUGCAAUACUUAUUUUUUUCUAGCAUGAUUCAUCAACCACAAAAAGAACACAUGAGCAUUUAAACUUUGCAAUAAUUAUUAAAGAUGUUAUAUGCAUAGGAAUCCUUAUAAAAUUGAUAUUAAGAAAUGUGAUAAUGUUGUCAUCAAUGUAGUUGAUUCAAAUACCUAUCCCUAUUGUGUUCUAUUAUGUUUAUUUAUGCAAUAGAUAUAUACUAACGCCAAUGAUUAACAUGGUAGAUAAAUUAAUCUGAAGUCAAAAUCCUUAAAACUCCAUAGUUAAAAAAAAUAAUGACAGAACCAUAAUAAACAUUAUAAUAAUAGUUGAGCUUUCCUAACUAACUUUUCCUUCUUAAGUUAUGACCAUUAAGGUCCAGCAUUAUGAAAAACAAAUUACACAACACAUAACCACAUAUUCAGAUUCCUAAUUAUUAUAAUCGAUAAACUGUAAUUUACGAAUCAAUAACAAUAAAAUAUAACCUUUCAAGAUGUAUCAUACACUGACAUUCUAACAGAAACAUUCUACAUAAUGAAAUAUUUUCAUUUCAAAUCUAAAUAAAAGCUGCAUGGCUAUAUGAAAAAACAAACAAUAAUUUUAUUGUAAAAGACAUAGCCGAGCCAAUUAAAUUAAUACACAAAACCACUUCCACUUCAACAAAAAAUAUCAACCCAAGUUAUAAUCUAGACAACUCCCAAUCCUUUACACAAUAGGUAAUACCUAACUAGUGAAAGCUUGCUUUAUAUUCUUAUAUGUAUGAAGCCAUAUUGUUUUCUGAUAUUUAAAGUUUUUUUUUCUCAUAUUAAUUAAAGCUAUAUUGCUUUUUUUUUUGUUCUAUCAUAUGUAGAACGAAAGAACUAUAGAUGAUAAAAACUUCAGUUCUAAUUUAACAAGUCCAUGGCCACGGAAUAUACAUUAUUUUGGUACUAGUCUUUAACAAUCCAAAUGCAGAACAUGGAAAGGGAAAAAACAUAGAAGAUUUGAAAUGUACAGUCUAUUACUCAUACCCAUACAAAUAAAGCAUGGAAACCAUGUUAAUGACGAAGUAUUUAAAAACCAAAAACUAACAAAAAAAAGAGCCAUUGUGUAGAAGUCCACUUCAAACAAGAAUAAUUGAAUAUUGUGAAGGAUGCAAUGAGGAAAUGAAAUCUUAGAAUCAAAGGUAAAAGGUAAGCAAUUCUUCGAGAACUUCAAAAAACCACUUUUGAAAAUCUAGAGAUGCACAACAAUCAUCCAUGAUUUUAUUCAAAUUUCAAAAGCAAAUGGAAUUCUAAGUUCACAAAUUAUUUUUUCACAACAAAAUAUCACCAAAUACAAUGCUAAGCCACCUAAAAAAUAAUAUUUGAUAUAAAUUCCAAUAGAGUUGAUUGUUCAAACAAGGUCCAUUUAGGAACACCAAACUCCUAUAAUUUUCAAACUCUCCAAUAUUUAUAGAUUCAAAUAUUUUAUAUCAUAAACCAGAAAAAAUUACAAACAACCGAAGGUAAUUUAAUGAGAAGAUUGAUAAAGGGAAACUUUCUUGAUUUUUGUGAUGUGCGUGUCUGCACCUUUGACUUUAUGUUUAGCUACCAGUGAGAAAACCAUCAUGAAACAACCUUUAAAAAUGUUUUGAUAAACAAAACACGCCACAAACUUUCACUAGCUUGUCUAUAUGAAAACAUUGCAAACUUACCAAGUUAUAUAUGAAGUUUAGAACAGGAUGAUCCAACACAUCAAGGUCUGUAGCUUUAUCAAAUGCAUUGAAGCAUAUCUGGAGCAUAAGAAAAAAACAGUACGAGCUAAAACUAGAGGAACUUCAGAUCUAGACAUCAUGGAACAAAUAGAGUUUCACGUCUUAUCAAAACGAAUGUAACUUUCAAGGGUAACCAAUUUAAAAGAAACAUAAAGUAAUACAGACUCCACUUCUCAUUUAAUAAUAAACAACUAACCACUUUAAAGGAAACAUUGCCAUUUACUAUAGUUAAACAAAAAUAUAGACUCCAAUUCUUAUGCAAGCACUUAGUUGACCAUUUUAAAACUUUUAUCCAAUACAAGGCAUCAUCCCCCCUAAAAGUCAAGGGCAGAAAAAAGAAUCUGCAAAAACAUAAAUAUAAACUCAUCAUAAUGCAUCUAACGAGGAAGCAUGAGAAACAUAUGGUGGUCACAUGGCCAACCUGUUCAAAAACUAAGCAGAAAAAAAAAACACUUGAUAAAUGAAAAAACCAAACAAGAAAUGAAUGAAUCAAAAUAAGAUUACCAGAUUUGUAGUGAAACUUAGGGUAGGUGUGUGACGGUGAUCACAACCGGAUUAAGCGAGCUUUUGCUACAAAUAAUAGUUUGGUUUGUAGAUAUGCAAAGAAGGAAAACAUAUCUCUAAGGAGAAACAUAUGGUGGUCACAUAGCUAACCUAUUCAAAAACCAAACAGAAGAGAAGAAAAACACUUGAUAAAUGAAAAAACUAGACAAGAAAUGAAUGAAUCAAAAUAGGAUUACUAGAUUUGUAGUGAAACUCAGGGUGGGUAUGGGACUGUGAUCGCAACUGGAUUAAGCGAGCUUUUGCUACAAAUAAUAGUUGGGUUUAUAAAUAUGCAAAAAAAGAAAACAGAUCUCUAAGAAGAGUGAUGUCUUAGAGAUCUGGAGGCUACGGUGAAGAAAAAAAAGAAGCUCUAGAGAAACGGGUUACAAUGUUGCGUUUUUUAUGGGGAGAAUAGUUUUGUCCAAUAUUUGCAACGGUAUUAAGCACCCAUAAUUUCAUUGUUUAGAUACUAUCUCCUGACCAACUUUUCACGUGAAAAACUGGUAAAAGAUGCUUUUAAUUACCUGCGGCCAUACCUCAAUUUUAACAUGAGGUCCACAAGUUAAACAUCAGUUUGAUUUCAUUAUCAAACAAUAUCAAAUUGUGUCUAGAAUAAACCAUAAAAGCCACCACUCUCUCAAACGCACAAUUAAUUUAGUUUUUCUUGGUGUUGAUGUUGUGAGGAAGAAUGUCCACUUGAUAUUUGUGAAAAAUGAGUUGAGUUUAAAAACAUACACUAAUUCCAUCUCUCACUCUUUAUUUCUUCACUUUUAUCGUCAAGUUAACUCCAUCUUAUCAUCAUAAACUUGUAGAGUUCUUGAAUAUUGAAUAUUUAAUAUUGGAUCAUUCUCCUCUCCUUAGUCCGUCUAUCUUUAUUCCAUUAUUUGAAUUACUUACAUGAAAUACUAUGAAUUUGUUUGGUAAUAAAAAUAUUUGUCCAUUGUUUUCUUUCUUAAUAAAAAAAAUUGGAAACUAUGUUCAUUUAUCGAAAAAUAUUAAAUUUUUAUUUUCAUUGAACUAAAAAAUUUUACAAAACCCAAUAUCAUAACUAUUAUAAAAUAAUCUAAACCAAAAUUUAUAAUAGUUUUGUAUUUAUCAUAAUGUAACUAUAAAACAUUGCUUUUAUUUCAUUCAUAUUAAAGGUCAUCAUAAAAAAAUCUACUUACUAUCUCUAAAAAAAGGAAUAGCAUUUUAUAAUAAACUUUUAAUAGAAAAAUAAAUUUAUGACAUUGAUCAAAUAUAAAUAAAUAAAAUAAGAUAAUUUUAGAGUUUCAUGUUACUAAAAGUAUUUGUAUUUCACACAUCGCAUAGAGUAUAUAUUAUGUCUUUUUUUUUUCUGUGAGAAAAUGUCAAAUUUUUAAUUUGUGUUAACAAAUGUUUUCUUCUCCGUUCAUCAUUGUAGGCGCAUUUUAAAAAUAAUGUUUUGAUGUGUUAAUGUAAAAAAUAAUUUGUAAAAAAUAAAUAAAAAUAUUAUUUUAAUAUAUUUCUAAGUGAAAAUUACUUAAAAAAAUAACUGCUACCAUACCCCCAAAGAUUUUCAAAAAACAAAAUUAAAUGGUUUUUGUAAAUAUUUACAUGGAGGACUAUAUCCAUAAAAUUAUAAUUCACUGCAGUUUUACCAUCUAAUUUUUCAUGUAGGAAAUUUGCACAUACGCCAGCACUUUUAAUUCAAGUGAUUGUGUCUAUUAAGAUAUAUAUAGUAGUGGACGAAGAAAGUCCAGCAAUCCGUUGUAGUCUAGUUGGUCAGGAUACUCGGCUCUCACCCGAGAGACCCGGGUUCAAGUCCCGGCAACGGAAUCUUGAUUUUUCUAUUUUAUCUCAAUCAUGGAAGGGUAAUAUGGUCACUUGAGUGAGCACCCUCAACCGGGCAGGCAAGCAGAUCAUAGCACAAAACCCUAGUGGUUGUCCCUCACUUAUAUUUAAUCUUCUUGUAGAAACAAAUUCCACAGCCUUUCCUCCUCCUCCUCUGCCUCCAUCGAACCAGCCAAGCUCACACACCAUCACAAUGGUAUUGUUAUUAUAAUUCUGUACUCUAUCAAAUCUCUUUCUACAGAUGUUGUUAAUGAAUCUCUCUAACUAUUUCUUUUUUCUAAAAAUAAAAAUAAAAAAAGCAGGCUUCAGAGAAGAAGCUAUCAAACCCAAUGAGAGAAAUCAAGGUCCAGAAGCUGGUCCUCAACAUCUCCGUCGGUGAAAGCGGAGACAGGCUCACCCGUGCCGCCAAGGUGCUCGAACAACUCAGUGGGCAAACCCCGGUGUUCUCGAAAGGUGCGUGUCAUUCUAAACCCUUUUUUUUUUUUUUUUUUUUUCCUUAAAGUGCUUUUGUUUUAGUUGUUGGAUUGUUUUUUACUGUUUUUUUAAUGAGCAGCUAGGUAUACUGUGAGAUCUUUUGGGAUUAGGCGUAAUGAGAAGAUUGCUUGCUAUGUGACUGUGAGGGGAGACAAGGCUAUGCAGUUGCUUGAGAGUGGGUUGAAGGUGAAGGAGUAUGAGCUUUUGAGGAGGAACUUCAGUGAUACUGGUUGCUUUGGUUUCGGCAUCCAGGAGCACAUUGAUCUUGGAAUCAAGUGAGUCUUUUCCCCAUAUAUUUAUGGUUACUUGUUGUAAAGAUUCGCAUAAUGGAUGUCUUUUAUCCCUCUCUUAUUUUGAAUUAUAUUAGUAUUACUUGUGACCCAGUUGAAUAUGAGGCUUGAACAUUAUGCCAAUUUUGAAGGUUUAGGCUAGAAUACUUGUGGUUUAGAUGGUGCCACUAGUUUGCUGAAAUGGGGUUUAUAUAAUGUUGCAACCAUGGCGCAUGAAACAUGGUUAGCUUUGUUUGUGGAUUAUCUUUUUUUUUUAAAUGUGGACACAGUUCUAGGUUAGGUUUCUGAUUUUUUUUGUAACUCGUAUUUAAAUAUGAUUUGGCAAUUCUAGACUUAAAUGGAUUUUCAAGAGGUCUUUUAUUGUGCAUAUACGCUGAAGGAAAAAUUGUGCUUAUCCUGAUGCUUGGGUCAUCUUUUGGAUUUUUUUGAUGUUGGAAUGAAGAUAGACGAUGUGGUGGAUGGAAUAUUGAUCUUGAAGAUAACAUUCAUUUAAGUUGCAGCAGCACUCAAGGGUCAAGUUAUGCCAUAUUGUUAGUGCUAGUUUGUUUUGGAUUAAUUUUUUUUCCUUCCCAUGGAGGGAUCCAAGAAGGAUAAUUUGGUGAUACCUAACUACCUGUCUUGCAACACAGUUAUGCCUGGCUCCUUUUAGCUAGCAUUGGUAUAAACCUUGUGAUUCCACUAGGUAGUCACAUUGGCGGGACAGGGUUUUUUUUUUAAUAACUUGACCUGUUUCUGUAUUGUAUAUGCUCAGCAUAAUGUUUUAUCAUCCCUUCUCAGGUAUGAUCCUUCCACUGGUAUUUACGGCAUGGACUUCUAUGUCGUUUUGGAACGUCCUGGGUACCGUGUUGGUCGUCGCCGCAGGUGCAAGUCACGUGUUGGUAUUCAUCAGAGAGUUACAAAGGAUGACGCGAUGAAAUGGUUCCAGGUCAAAUAUGAAGGAGUCAUCCUUAACAAAUCCCAAAAUAUUUGAUCUUAGAUCUUUUCCUGACUUUUUUUAAGUUUAAAGCCUGGGAAGUCGUUAACCUUUGGCAGGUUUUUAUGUACCUGGAGUUAUAAUUUUCAUCUAGAAUUUCUUGAAGUGGUAGAGAAUCUGAAGUUCUAUGUUUUUGUGUUCUUGUGUCACUGCUUG
rnacentral:lncRNA from 1 species